rnacentral:rRNA from 1 species
UACGUAGGGUGCAAGCGUUUAUCCGGAAUUAUUGGGCGUAAAGAGCUCGUAGGCGGUUUGUCGCGUCUGCUGUGAAAACUGGAGGCUCAACCUCCAGCCUGCAGUGGGUACGGGCAGACUAGAGUGCGGUAGGGGAGAUUGGAAUUCCUGGUGUAGCGGUGAAAUGCGCAGAUAUCAGGAGGAACACCGAUGGCGAAGGCAGAUCUCUGGGCCGUAACUGACGCUGAGGAGCGAAAGCAUGGGGAGCGAACAGG